CAGCAAAAAAUAAUGUAAUCUGCAUCGAUGUAAUUCAAGCGAUGUACGAAAAUUUCUAUGUAACUCAAAAAUCAUAAUGCAUAAUAACAUUCAUUUUGAUGUAAUUUCACAUUGCCUUGAAAUUACACAAAACAAAUUGAUCAUCUUCCCAUUACGUCGCUUUUGUGUAAUAUUCGAUUGUCAAAACAUUUAAUAUCACACAGAAAAUGAUGCAACCAAUAAGAUCCAACAGACUUGUGUAAAAUUACACAAAUUCGAUACAAUAUUAUGUAUCAUUGAUAUUUAAUUUCCUCGCAACACUGCGGACUUGACAUCUCGAACUUCUGCAACGUUGAUUCUGUUUUGUCGCCAUGUUGUGUUGGAAGCAAAGUUGUUUGACGGCAAUAUUCAAGGUUUUCCAGGUUUUCUCGCGGCUAGUUUGAUAUAUUUCGUGUGCAUUUGGUCAAUUGUGGUCAAAAGAAUGUGUUAAAAAUAAACGGGAGAUCCGAACGUUUUUCCUGGAUUUUUCACUGAAGUGUCAGUUUGAUUUUCGAUGGUGACGGCAAAGCAAAAUAAGAAGAAGAGUGGAUUUCAGGCCAUGGAAUUCAGCAUGCCGAUUCUGACUGCAAUCCUUAAUAUGGGAUAUGUACAAAGUGCCGAUCGUUUGGUAUGUUCGCGGAUUUCGAUGACGACGGCAAUGAAGAAAAAGGACGCAUGAGGAUCCUGAAGGCAAUUCUUAAAAAUGUGAUGCAAAGUGCCACUUCAAAUCCUUCGCCCGGGUUUUUGCAUUCCGCUGUUCGAGAAACUAAAACGACGAGCGAUCAAGUUCUCCAUGGAACGUUAAUAUUGGCUCACGAUGAGAAAUUUUCGGAUCUUAAAACGAUUCUACCACUUGCUGCCGAAUGUGAUCGUUUCUAUGCCAAAGUUCAGCGGUGUUGCACUGUGCGUUUGACGAAGGGGACCUCUUUUCGUGAUGGGUUGCGGCGAGACGGAGACACAUUGUGAAAGUUGCCCCAAACGAAACAGAUGGUCUGGUUCUUCCCAAGCUGUUGGUCGACUUUAAGAAGGAAGGCUUGAGCGAACUAACGCUUAUCCGGUUGGAGAAUAAUGUAAUGAAUAAGACUAAGGCCGGAGUGGCCUGUGCUACACAUAAAAGUCUUCUCCAUUCAGCUCGGUCCAUGGCUGCACUUCGCCAACCACGCAGUAUACGGAGGGUCCGCAAAUCGUCCUCCGCCUGAUCGAUCCACCUUGCCCGCUGUGCACCUCGCCUUCUUGUUCCCGUCGGAUCGUUGUCGAGAACCAUUUUCACCGGAUUACUGUCCGACAUUCUGGCUACGUGGAGGCUGAAGAUGGAGUGGCAUCUGCAUUGUUUUCUUUUCGCUCGGUCCAUAACUGCACGUCAUCUUCCUGAUCGUUAUUCUCAAGUCCGUCAAAGAGCGGGCGUAACCGGCUUCGAAGCGCCUCUGAACGCGAUGGGAUUCCAGCAAGACAUGAGCCACCCUGGGUCUGCCGAUCGAUACUGGAUUCCUGAUGCUCUUCAAUAUACUCGCUUCAAUAUGUAUCGCCGUUGCAUUUGAUCUACCGGCGAUAGAUCUGCUGAUGCAGUAAAAAAAAUAUAGUAUGUUUUUAUCUUGUAUUCACGAAUCAUUUAAAAAACUUGACCAAACAAUUAUUGAUGAAAGAAAUCCACCAAAAGAAAACUCAAUGGUAUAAAUGCCUUGUACCUUACACUAUUUUACAUAGUUUAACUUUACAUCGCCUCGCUUACGUUGAAUAAUUUUUACGUCGGGAAAAAAUUACAUCGUUACUGUUUAUUACACAGCAAGCUCUCGGGUACAUCGUGCAGUGUAAUAUUCAACAAUCGACGGAUUCGAUGGGUUGCAUCGAUUUCGAUGUAAUAUUCAACAACUUUUUUUGCUGUGUAG